UGUAAGCGUAUACCAAAGUUGUUGCAGUUAAAACGCUCGUAGUCGGAAUUUGGCAGUUCCGGAUGUGUGCACGUCGUGUGCGCACUUUGCGGGGACUGCUUUUGUGGUCUUGCGUAGGAUGAGGCACUUUCAUUAGUGAACGUCCUCACGCAACCACUCUUUACUGUGAGAAAAUCAGAGUGCUCAAAGCAGGCAUUUGCCGUGAAUGUAUUAGCAUGGAAUAAUAGAAUAGGACUCGGUUCUAUUUUGUUGGUUUGUUGGGACUGAGUAAUGAUUAAGAGGGACAGUUGGGGGCAUUUGUAUUCCGGCGCUAGAGGUGAAAUUCUCAGAUUGCCGGAAGACAAACUGCUGCGAAAGCGUCUGCCAAGGAUGUUUUCAUUGA
rnacentral:rRNA from 1 species